AGUGAACGUUGGCGGCGUGGAUUAGGCAUGCAAGUCGAGCGAGAACCGUAGCAAUACGGGGACAGCGGCGAAAGGGACAGUAAUGUGUAGGUACCUACCCCGAGGUCUGGGAUAGCUGCGGGAAACUGCAGGUAAUACCGGAUAAUGUCUUCGGACCAAAGGUGUGAUUCCACCUUGGGAGGGGCCUGCAUCCUAUUAGCUUGUUGGCGGGGUAACGGCCCACCAAGGCGACGAUGGGUAGCGGGUGUGAGAGCACGACCCGCGUCAUUGGGAAGGAGAAACUGCCCGGACACCUACGGGUGGCUGCAGUCGAGGGCCUUCGGCAAUGGGCGCAAGCCUGACCGAGCGACGCCGCGUGCGGGAUGAAGGCCUUCGGGUUGUAAACCGCUGUCGUAGAGGAGGAGAUGCAGGGGGGUUCUCCCUUCUGUUUGACCUAUUCUAGGAGGAAGGACGGGCUAAGUUCGUGCCAGCCGCCGCCGUAA
rnacentral:rRNA from 1 species